rnacentral:rRNA from 1 species
GACGAACGCUGGCGGCGUGCUUAACACAUGCAAGUCGAACGGAAAGGCCCUGCUUUUGUGGGGUGCUCGAGUGGCGAACGGGUGAGUAACACGUGAGUAACCUGCCCUUGACUUUGGGAUAACUUCAGGAAACUGGGGCUAAUACCGGAUAGGAGCUCCUGCUGCAUGGUGGGGGUUGGAAAGUUUCGGCGGUUGGGGAUGGACUCGCGGCUUAUCAGCUUGUUGGUGGGGUAGUGGCUUACCAAGGCUUUGACGGGUAGCCGGCCUGAGAGGGUGACCGGGCAGAAGUGGGACUGAGAGCGGCCCCGCCCUCCGCCGGGGGGAAGCGGGGGGAAUUAGGGAACAGGGGGCGGAGGCUGGAGGCAGCAACCCCGGGGGGGGGAGGACGCCCGGCGGUUGGUAAACCGCUUUCGCCGGUGAAGAAGGGGGAGUGACGUUAAGGGAAAAAAAAACCCGGACAAACUACGUC